UACGUAGGGUGCAAGCGUUGUCCGGAAUUAUUGGGCGUAAAGAGCUUGUAGGCGGUUUGUCGCGUCUGCUGUGAAAUUUCGGGGCUCAACCCCGAACUUGCAGUGGGUACGGGCAGGCUAGAGUGUGGUAGGGGAGACUGGAAUUCCUGGUGUAGCGGUGAAAUGCGCAGAUAUCAGGAGGAACACCGGUGGCGAAGGCGGGGUCUCUGGGCCGAUACUGACGCUGAGGAGCGAAAGCGUGGGGAGCGAACAGG
rnacentral:rRNA from 1 species